rnacentral:rRNA from 1 species
GAUGAACGCUGGCGGCGUGCCUAAUACAUGCAAGUCGAGCGAACAGAUGAGGAGCUUGCUCCUCUGACGUUAGCGGCGGACGGGUGAGUAACACGUGGAUAACCUACCUAUAAGACUGGGAUAACUUCGGGAAACCGGAGCUAAUACCGGAUAAUAUAUUGAACCGCAUGGUUCAAUAGUGAAAGACGGUUUUGCUGUCACUUAUAGAUGGAUCCGCGCCGCAUUAGCUAGUUGGUAAGGUAACGGCUUUCCAAGGCAACGAUGCGUAGCCGACCUGAGAGGGUGAUCGGCCACACUGGAACUGAGACACGGUCCAGACUCCUACGGGAGGCAGCAGUAGGGAAUCUUCCGCAAUGGGCGAAAGCCUGACGGAGCAACGCCGCGUGAGUGAUGAAGGUCUUCGGAUCGUAAAACUCUGUUAUUAGGGAAGAACAAAUGUGUAAGUAACUAUGCACGUCUUGACGGUACCUAAUCAGAAAGCCACGGCUAACUACGUG